rnacentral:rRNA from 1 species
ACCAGUUGAUCCUGCUGGAGGAUACUGCUAUCGGAUUACGACUAAGCCAUGCAAGUUUUGGGAUUACACUUGUAAUCCCGGCGAACGGCUCAGUAACACGUAGUGAACCUACCUUACAGAGGCGAAUAACCGCGCGAAAGUGCGGGUAAUACGCCAUAGGCCACCAAACCUGGAACGGUUGGCGGUUGAAAAAAAAGCGAAUUGGAGCAAGUUUGCUGUAAGAUGGCACUGCGGCUGAUCAGGCUGUUGGUGAGGUAACGGCCCACCAAACCUAUAAUCAGUAGGGGCUAUGGGAGUAGGAGCCCCGAGACGGGCACUGAGACAAGGGCCCGAGUCCUACGGGAUGCAGCAGGCGCGAAACUUCCGCAAUGCGCGAAAGCGUGACGGGGGUAGUCCGAGUGCUUCUCGAAAGGGAAGCUUUUAACCGGCUUGAAUAGCCGGUGGAAUAAGUUCUGGGUAAAUCCUGUGCCAGCCGCCGCGGUAACACAGGUAGAGCUAGUGGUAUCCACGAAUAUUGAGCUUAAAGCGUCCGUAGCCGGCUUGGCAAGUUUCCUGUGAAAUCCAUCCGCUCAACGGAUGGGCGUGCAGGGAAUACUACCGAGCUUGAGAGUGGGGGAGUCCAAGGGUACUCUAGGGGGAGGAGUAAAACGACUUCUUUCUUUUGUAAAAGAAAGAACUCGACUAGAAAGAAAACUAGUUAGUUGUACUCAUAAUCCUGUAAUCCUUAGAGGACCAUCGGUGGCGAAAGCGCUUGGACAAAACACGUCUGACGGUGAGGAACGAAGGCCAGGGUAGCGAAUCGGAUUAGAUCUGAUUCGAACUGAAAAAAAAGGGCAAAGCUAUUUUUGUGAUAAUGUUUCUUUCGCUUUAACUACGGAAACAUUUUGAAAUUCAUCAGCUUUGUUCGUUCGAAUCACUAAACACCCGAGUAGUCCUGCGCAGUAAAUGAUGCAGACUUGGCGUUGCAGCGACUUUGGGUUGCUGCAGUGCCGUAGUGAAAACGUUUAGUCUGCCGCUUGGGGAGUACGAUCGCAAGAUUGAAACUUAAAGCAAUUGGCGGGGGAGCUGAAGAGAAUUCUUGAGCACUCUGGAAAUUGUGUUCACAAAAUUGCUCAUUUAGUUUUAACCCGUUACAAAAUAAUUCAAAUUUUUUUUCCAGCCAAGAAUUCUUUUCUCCUAUACCACAAGGGGUGGAUGCUGCGGUUCAAUUGGACUCAACGCCGGGAAACUCACCAGCAGAGACGGCAGUAUGAAGCUCAGACUGAAGAUCUUAGCUAACAAGCCGAGAAGUGUUGCAUGGCCAGCGCCAGCUCGUGCCGUGAGGUGUCACGUUAAGUCGUGCAACGAGCGAGAUCUUCGUCCACAGUUGCUACCUUUCAAGAAAUUGGGAGGGCACUCUGUGGAGACUGCCCGCGUUAAGUGGGAGGAAGGAGAAGGCGACGCUAGGUCCGUAUGGCCUGAAUCUGCUGGGCCACACGUGGCAUACAAUAGUAGGGACAAUGCGUUCCGACACCGAAAGGUGAAGGCAAUCGCCUAAACCCUGCUCCAGUACAGAUUGGGGGCUGAAACUCGCCCCCAUGAAGUUGGAAUCCCUAGUAAUCGCGUGUCAUCAUCGCGCGGUGAAUAUGUCCCCGCUCCUUGCACACACCGCCCGUCAAGCCAUUCAAGUGAGGUUUUAGUGAGGCUGCGACUUCGGUCGCAUUCGAGCUAGAUCUUCAUGAGAAGGGUU